GGGAAAUCAAUAUGGAAGCGGGCUGGCAUCCUUCGGGGUUACAGCCUUGCUGAAUUAUUCACCCGUGUCUUUUGCGUACUUCUUGUUUCCUUGGUGGGUUCGCCCACCAUAGGACAAACCAUAAACCUUUUGUAAUUGCAAUCAGCGUCAGUAAAAAAAAUUAAUAAUUACAACUUUUAACAACGGAUCUCUUGGUUCUGGCAUCGAUGAAGAACGCAGCGAAAUGCGAUAAGUAGUGUGAAUUGCAGAAUUCAGUGAAUCAUCGAAUCUUUGAACGCACAUUGCGCCCUUUGGUAUUCCAAAGGGCAUGCCUGUUCGAGCGUCAUUUGUACCCUCAAGCUUUGCUUGGUGUUGGGCGUCUUGUCUCCAGUUCGCUGGAGACUCGCCUUAAAGUAAUUGGCAGCCGGCCUACUGGUUUCGGAGCGCAGCACAAGUCGCGCUCUCUUCCAGCCAAGGUCAGCAUCCACAAAGCCUUUUUUCAACUUUUGACCUCGGAUCAGGUAGGGAUACCCGCUGAACUUAAGCAUAUCAUAGACCGGAAGGAAA
rnacentral:rRNA from 1 species